rnacentral:rRNA from 1 species
GACGAACGCUGGCGGCGUGCUUAACACAUGCAAGUCGAACGGAAAGGCCCCUUUGGGGGUACUCGAGUGGCGAACGGGUGAGUAACACGUGAGUAACCUGCCCUUGACUUCGGGAUAACUUCAGGAAACUGGGGCUAAUACCGGAUAGGAAUCCUUGCUGCAUGGUGGGGGUUGGAAAGCUUCGGCGGUUUUGGAUGGACUCGCGGCUUAUCAGCUUGUUGGUGGGGUAGUGGCUUACCAAGGCUUUGACGGGUAGCCGGCCUGAGAGGGCGACCGGCCACAUUGGGACUGAGAUACGGCCCAGACUCCUACGGGAGGCAGCAGUGGGGAAUAUAGCACAAUGGGCGGAAGCCUGAUGCAGCAACGCCGCGUGCGGGAUGACGGCCUUCGGGUUGUAAACCGCUUUCAGCAGGGGCGAAGCUUGUGGUGACGGUACCUGCAGAAGAAGCACCGGCUAACUACGUG